rnacentral:pre_miRNA from 1 species
CACCUACUCCCUCCGUUCGGAAUUACUUGUCGCAGAAAUGGAUGUAUCUAGAUGUAUUUUAGUUUUAGAUACAUCCAUUUCCAAGACAAGUAAUUCCGAACGGAGGGAGUAGCAU